rfam:Heterocephalus glaber contig210604, whole genome shotgun sequence.
GCCUUAUUCUACUCAGAAAGGCCUUGGUUACAUAUAGUACAAGUGACCAGCACCUUUCUGUGUAGGACAUGGCA